CAGCAGGCGAGAAAACUUUGCAAUGUGCGCAAGCACGACAAGGUUAAUCCGAGUGAUUCCUGCUAAAGGAAUCUUUUGUUAGUUGUAAAACCACUGAUGAAUAAGGGGUGGGCAAGUUCUGGUGUCAGCCGCCGCGGUAAAACCAGCACCUCAAGUGGUCAGGAGGAUUAUUGGGCCUAAAGCAUCCGUAGCCUGUCCUGUAAGUUUCCGGUUAAAUCCAUUUGCUCAACAAAUGGGCUGCCGAAAAUACUGCAGGACUAGGGAGUGGGAGAGGUAGACGGUACUCGGUAGGAAGGGGUAAAAUCCUUUGAUCUAUUGAUGACCACCUGUGGCGAAGGCGGUCUACCAGAACACGUUCGACGGUGAGGGAUGAAAGCUGGGGGAGCAAACCGGAUUAGAUACCCGGGUAGUCCCAGCUGUAAACGAUGCAGACUCGGUGAUGCCCUGGCUUGUGGCCAGUGCAGUGCCGCAGGGAAGCCGUUAAGUUUGCCGCCUGGGAAGUACGUACGCAAGUAUGAAACUUAAAGGAAUUGGCGGGGGAGCACCACAAGGGGUGAAGCCUGCGGUUCAAUUGGAGUCAACGCCAGAAAUCUUACCCGAAGAGACAGCAGAAUGAAGGUCAAACUGGAGAUUUUACCAGACAAGCUGAGAAGUGGUGCAUGGCC
rnacentral:rRNA from 1 species